rnacentral:lncRNA from 1 species
AUACAAUUCAGAGUAAACACAAAUAGAGUCCUAAGGCAGGAUUUCUAAUGCAAGGAAAGAGACCAUCAUUUUAUUAAGCUUGAUUAUAGUAAUAACUUAAUGAUGGGGGUUUCUAAAUGAUUACGAAUUUAGGCAGAAUCAGAAUUAACAUGUUUCCUAAUAUGCAAAGUAGUGAACAUGAUUAUCCUAAGGCAGGAUAUCUAAUGCACAUGUUUAUAACAUAGUUUUAAUACAAAUAGGCAUAGUAAACUAGAGGCAUGAUAUCUAUUGCAAAAUGUAAACAUGGUAUAAACCUAAUAGCAUGAUUUCUACUCUAAAUCAAUAUAUAUAAACCUAAAAGCAUGAUUUCUACUCGAUUUUCCCAGAAAAAAUGUUGUAUGAACCCUCUCCUUUUUAUUAAUUACCCCAAUAUUUGUUUACAAAUAAUAUUAUAACAGGUCAGGAUUAGAUGAAUUACAUAGAUGAAUGAAACUAUAGUAUAUGGAGCCUGAAUCUGACCCAAAUUAAACUUGGGAAUGCCGGGCUUUCAAUACAAUCUCAUAAGCCAAAGAUCUUACAGCCAAUAGUGUGUCUUGGCACGUCAGCGUUCCUUAAGGACCUCAAGGAUCUCGAGAAGUGCUCACACUAAGACCUUUCUCAAAUAGAGGAUUGGUUAUGUGCACUGUGGAAGGGCCAAUCCUGUUAUGCUAGAGUUUAGAGAAAUCUCAAGGAUCUUUAAGAAGUACACACAUCAGAGGGACAAAACCUAAUAGUCUAAGAGUGAAGUGAGUAGUGCAUGAUAUAGCUUUUAAAAGAUUUAGUAGAAAAUAGUGCAGAGACAAUUUCAAAAGUGAAAAGAAUUUCAGAAAUUGAAAACAACUUUAAGAAGAUGCUAGAAGUGACUAGUUUAAGUAGAAUACUAAGAGUAGAAGAACAAUUUUGAAAUCAGUUCUGAGGAGAGCAAAUUUAGCAAAUGACCAAUUAAUCAAAGAAUACACGGAUUCACAGAUACUUAACCAACAGAUUUACAAACACGGCUGAAAGGGAUUGGGAACAUAUAGAGUUGAAACCACAUAAAUAGUAAAAUAAUUGAGACAAAAAGGAAGUCGUAUAUGGGGGGGCAGGUUCAUAGUUAUGCUUUACCUGGUAGCCUCGAGGUUGUUUCAUUAGAUAUUGUUAUUACAAGUAUUGUUUCAAUAUAUCAUAGGAAUACAUCUAUUUUAUUUAAUCCGGGUUUCACUUAUUCGUAUGUGUUAUACUAUUUUGCUUCAUAUUUUACAUGUUUCGUGAUUCUUUGAGUAAUACCGUUUAUGUGUUUACAACCGUUGGGGAUUCUAUUGUGGUAGACUGGGCUUAUCAUACUUUUUUUUGUAACUGUUGGGGGCUAUGAGACUAUUGUUGACCUUCUGUUACCUAAUAUGGUUGAUUUUGAUAUGAUUUUGUUAUAGAUUGGUUGUCACCAUAUCACACAAUUCUUCAUUGUCAUGCUAUGAUCGCGAUGUUGGCUAUGCUGGGUUUGCCAAGGUUGAAGUGAAGAGGUUCAUUGGCUCAUGUUCCUAGUAGGGUAGGUUCUUUUCUGAAGGCUCAAUUGAUGAUUGAGAAGGGAUGAUUGGCAUAUUCAGCCUUUAUGAGGGAUAUUAGUGAUGAUACUCCUACCAUUAAGUCAGUUCCGGUACCGAGGGAGUUUUCAUAUAUGUUCUCAGUAGACCUACCGUGCAUGCCACCCGAUAGGGAUAUUAAUUUUUGUAUUAACUUGGUGUCGGGCACUUAUCCCAUGUUUAUUCCAAUAUAUCGCAUGGCACUAGUGAAGUUGAAGGAAUUGAAGGAACAUCUUCAGGAGUUACUUGAUAAGAGUUUUAUUAGAUCUAGUGUCUCACCUUGGGGUGCUCUAAUUUUUUUGUUAAAAAGAAGGAUGGUUCUAUGAUUAUGUGUGUUGACUAUAGGCAGCUGAACAAGGUUACCAUAAAAAAUAAGUACCCAUUACUGCAUAUUGAUGAUUUAUUUAAUCAACUUGAGGGUUUUAGGCAUUCUCAAAGAUUGACUUGAUAUCGGGGAACCAUCGGUUAAAUAUCUGGGUUUCACAUAUUCGGAAGACGGCUUUUAGGUCUCGCUAUGGUCACUAUGAGUUCAUAGUGAUGUCUUUUGGUCUAACCAAUGACCUAGCAACUUUCAUGUGCUUGGUGAAUAACAUGUUUCAGCUGUAUCUGGAUUCCUUCGUCAUUGUAUUUGUUGAUGAUAUAUUAGUGUAUUGUCGCAUCUAAGAGGAGCAUGAACAUCACUUGAGAAUCAUGCUCCAGACAUUGAGGGAGAAGAAGCUAUAUUCUAAAUUUUCUAAGUGCGAGUUUUGGUUAGAUUCAGUGGAAUUCUCGGGCCAUAUGGUGUCCAAUGAGGCGAUUAAGGUGGAUCUGAAGAAGAUUGAGGCCGUUGAGAGUUGGCCCCGACCUAGGUUUGGCUAGGUAUUAUCGUUGUUUCUUGGAGGGUCUCUCAUCCAUUAUAGCUCUUUUGACUUGAUUGACUAAGAAAGUCCUUUUAGGUUGUCUGACAAGUGUGAGGAGAGCCUUCAGAAGCUCAAGACUUCCUUGGCUACAACUCCAGUUCUAGUUUUGCCUUCAACAUCAGGUUCAUACACAGUCUAUUGUAAUGCUUAACAGAUUGGCAUUGGAUGCGUUCUGAUGCAGGAGGGCCGAGUGAUUGCUUAUGUUUCACGAUAGUUGAAGCCCAUGAGAAGAACUACUAAGUAAAAAAUUUGGAGUUAACAACCCUCGUUCAAAUACUAAAUAUUUAGAGGCAUUAUUUUUUCUUUACGACGUGUCUUAUGAGGUGUUCACAUAUCACAGGAGUCUUCAACACCAAUUCAAACAAAAAGAUCUGAACUUGAGGCAACAUAGGUGGUUAGAGCUAUAGGACUAUGAUGUCACCAUUCGUUAUCAUCCCAGGAAGGCCUAUGUGGUGGUUGAUGCUUUGUGUAGGAAGGUUGAGAGAAUACGGAGUCUUGCUUUUAUUUCUGUGGGGGAGAGACCGUUAGUGUAGGAUGUUCAGUCUUUGGCCAAUAGGUUUGUGAGGUUAGAUAUAUUAGAGCCUAGCAAGGUUCUUGCUUGAAUGGUUUCAUGGUCGUCAUUUUUAGGGCACCAAGGCACGUGUAUAUGAUGAUCUCCACUUUAUUGUCCUCAAAGACACGGUGCAAUAGGGGGAUGCCAUGGAGGUGACUAUUUGUGAUGAUGGGAUGUUGAAGCUUCAGGUUUGGAUUUGUAUGCCUCAUGUGGAUGGAUUGUGGGAGCUGAAUCUUUCUUAGGCCCCUAGUUCAUGGUAGUCCAUUAAUUUGGGCAACGACAAGAUGUACCACAAUUUGAAGCUGCAGUACUGGUGCAGAUGAAUGAAGAAAGAUAUUGUGGAGUAUGUGGGUUGGUGUUUGAAUUAUCAACAUGUUGAGUAUGAACAUCAGCGACCAGGCGGUUCGCUUUAGAGGCUUGAUAUUCUUGAGUGAAAGUGGAAGCGUAUCACCAUGAAUUUUUGUGGCUGGGUUGCCAGGAACCUUGAGAAAAUUUAAACUGUGAUGGUCAUUGUGGACAGACUGACCAAGUCUGCACACUUCAUUCCAGUCAUGACUACCUUCUCUUUAGAGCAACUAGCUCAAAUAUAUUUUCGUGAGAUUGUUCUCCUUCAUGGUGUACCGACGUCCAUUAUCUCGAAUCGCGACACGUAGUUUAAAUCAGUUUUUGGAGAGUCGUGUAGUGUGGUUUGGGAACAUACGUGGAGCUGAGUACAAUAUUUCAUCCUUAGACGGAUAAACAGUAUGAGCGCACUAUUCAGAUUUUGGAGGACAUGUUAUGUAACUGUGUCAUUGAUUCUCAUGGAAUCAAUUUCUACUGCUAGCAAAGUUUGCCUACAGUUACAAUUAUGAGUAUAGCAUCCAUAAGGAUUCGUACGAGGCAUUAUACGGAAGGCAGUGCCAUUCUCUUGUUGGUUGGUUUGAGCCUGGGGAGGCUAGGUUAUUGGGCACUGAUCUAGUUCAUUAUUUCUCUGGAGGAGGUGAAAUUGAUUCAGGAUCAACUACUUACACCAUAGUUCAGGUAGAAGAGUUACGCGGAUAGAAGGGCUCGUGAUGUGGAAUUUAUGAUGGGUGAGAAGGUUCUACUCCGAGUUCCGCCCGUGGGUGUGAUGAGGUUCAUGAUAGAUUAAAAUCCAAAUAACCAAACCCAAAAUCAUAUGAGAAUGUGACAAAAAUUUUCAGCAAAGGACAUUCAAAACAGCUUUCAACACCAAAUUACUGCUGCAAUUUUCAGUAAACUCACAAAUCAACAUGACUCUAGUGAGCAAACUUUGACAAAAUAAAGGCUAAAUUAAACCGGAAACCACAGCUCUUGAAGUACUACAUUGAAAAAUUAUUGAGCCCUAACAAAUUUGCUAUUUCAAAAUAGGCCAAGUAAUCAGAAUCGAAAUAUAAACUCAACCCAUAGAAAUCGUAUAGCAGCAGAACAGGAAAGGGAAAUGACAUGAGAAAAUUCCAAUUAUUCCAACAACAGAAGUGUUUCACAGAUGCGUACCUAAAUUUGAAAGCAACAAAUCGAUUGAACCCAACAAAAGUCGGAUAAGCACAAAUGGAGCUUCAGCAACAAAUUGAAAGGAGAACAGCAACAAAACAACAACCAAAAUAAACGAGUUCCAGCAAACCUAGAUGAAUAGAUACCAAAUUUCAGGGAAAUCAAAGCCAACCUUUAAAUUCCAACUUCUCUUUUUUUUUUUGAAUUUUGUUUGAAACUUUUUCCUCUUUUCGGAUUCUUAAGAUCUCCUCUUCAAUUCAGAAUGUCUGUGCGUGUUAGUGGGAUAAGAGUAGGUAGGAGGGCUCCUCCACUUUUGCCUGUGUUCUCUGCAUGUGUUCUUUUUGUAGAAAAAUGAAGAUGAAGAGCGAAGAAGAGGGGACUGCAGAUUUUUCGUGUUCUAGCCCUCGCUCUGAUUUUUUUUCUUCUUCGUGGAGCUCUUUUUUAUCUCCAGCACAAGAAGAAAGUCUAGAAGGGGUCACGCAUUUUGCG